CCAAUGGUAAGGCAACGGGUUUUGGUCCCGUUACUGGGAGGUUCGAAUCCUUCCGUCCCAGA
rnacentral:tRNA from 1 species